AAAAAACAAAAAAAAACAUAACGGAGGCAAUUCCUCAGGGCAGUUACUUCACCCACAGCCCCUGAUUACACAGAAAAAAACAGUCUCUGGGCCCCAGAAACAAGGCAGAGGCAGCAAUCCCUCAGCAAGCCUGGCCAGUGACUUCAGAGCCUCAGAGAAAACCCGUACUACCCUCUAGGAUGCUGUGGCAUUCUGGGCAAAUAACAACUUCUCUGGGCCUCACUUGUCCAUGAGGUCCGCUGUAGGAAAACCACCAUUGCCCUUUCCCUUCCUCUCUCUUCCCUCCCCCACCACACACACACACACACACACACACACACACACACACACACACACACACAUUACUCCCCAGCCACUUCCCAUUUAUAGGAAAUGGGGGAUGAUGUGAGGAGCAAGGCCAUCCUUGGGGAACUGCUAAUAGUCUAGCUGGAUAUUGGAGAAACCAAAGAUGCUGGCAAAAUGCAUUAGCAGUCUCUGCCCCACCCCCACACACAGCCCCUCCUCAUUGUCCUUGGGCUAAGAGCAAGCAUCCUUCUCAUUCCACAGAGACCAGAUACCCAGCUGCAUCUGGUUGGCCUCACGGAAGCCUGAGAAGUCAUGAAGGACCUGGAGCUCCCUUGCUGUUCCCAUCUCUUGCCAUCUCCAUCAUCCAGGGCCGGUGGUCCACUUUGAGAUGUCUGUGCUGUCUGCCUCAGGAUGAGGGGCUGACUCUCUGACUUCAAGAUAGGAAUAAAAGGAGGAGGAGUCUGCUACACCCACCAUCAAGUGCGCUCACAGUAUUUACUCAACCAGUGACAAGGAGGGCCAAACAAGAGGAAAAAUCCUAGAACUGCAGCAAGACAGAUGGGAAUCACACUAGAGGAGGGACUUCCCAGGGCAUCUGAGGAUUUACUACUGUAUCUGGAUCUUUGGGAUUGAGAGAGGAGCAAGAAGCUGACACUGCCUACUGCAAGUGGCUAUAAAGCCAUUCUCACGGUCCUGAUGCAAUGCUCAAGAUAAAAAGCAAGCCUGCGGGAAGGAGAGACACUGGCCUGAGUCCAGGUGUCUGAGCAGGAACACCAGCCCCAGACUCCAAAUGAAGCUCCAGAGGAACAGAAGGAGUUGGUGGGAAGGGCCCCUCUGCUGGGCUUCAGGGCCAGAAAAGGGAGAAGGAACAAACACAAGUAGUGGCAGAGCACCAUCCAGUCAUGUUGGCCAAAUGAUGCCUCCUUUGUUCAGUAAGAAGUGAAGAGAGAAUGCUAGAACCGCAGCCGGGCGUGGUGGUUCACGCCUGUAUCCCAGCACUUUGGGAAGCCAGGCGGGAGGAUCACUUGAGGUCAGGAGUUAGAGACCAGCCAGGCCAACAUGGUGAAACCCCAUCUCUACUAUUAAUAAAAAUACAAAAAUUAGCC
rnacentral:lncRNA from 10 species